rnacentral:rRNA from 1 species
GACGAACGCUGGCGGCGUGCCUAAUACGUGCAAGUAGAACGCACAGUUUAUACCGUAGCUUGCUACACCAUAGACUGUGAGUUGCGAACGGGUGAGUAACGCGUAGGUAACCUGCCUGGUAGCGGGGGAUAACUAUUGGAAACGAUAGCUAAUACCGCAUAAUAUUAAUUAUUGCAUGAUAAUUGAUUGAAAGAUGCAACUGCAUCACUACCAGAUGGACCUGCGUUGUAUUAGCUAGUAGGUGAGGUAACGGCUCACCUAGGCGACGAUACAUAGCCGACCUGGGAGGGUGAUCGGCCAAACUGGGACUGAGACACGGCCCAGACUCCUACGGGAGGCAGCAGUAGGGAAUCUUCGGCAAUGGACGAAAGUCUGACCGAGCAACGCCGCGUGAGUGAAGAAGGUUUUCGGAUCGGAAAGCUCUGUUGUAAGAGAAGAACGGGUGUGAGAGUGGAAAGUUCACACUGUGACGGUAUCUUACCAGAAAGGGACGGCUAACUACGUG